CUUCACCGUUGUUGUAAACCCGACGACUGAGGAAGAUAACAAUCAUGUCUCUAUUCGCUUGAACGUGACGCUUUUCGAUGGAUAUCCUGAGACUGUUCCUGAAGUGGUGGUUCAGCUGG
rnacentral:ribozyme from 1 species